CACGUAGGCACCAAGCGUUGUCCGGAAUUAUUGGGCGUAAAGAGCUCGUAGGCGGCUUGUCGCGUCGGAUGUGAAAGCCCGGGGCUUAACUCCGGGUCUGCAUUCGAUACGGGCAGGCUAGAGUUCGGUAGGGGAGAUCGGAAUUCCUGGUGUAGCGGUGAAAUGCGCAGAUAUCAGGAGGAACACCGGUGGCGAAGGCGGAUCUCUGGGCCGAUACUGACGCUGAGGAGCGAAAGCGUGGGGAGCGAACAGG
rnacentral:rRNA from 1 species